rnacentral:rRNA from 1 species
UCGCUCCUACCGAUUUCGAGUGGUCCGGUGAAUCUUUCGGACGGCGCGCGGCCUCGUGCCGUGUCGCUGAAAGUCAGGUAAACCUUAUCACUUAGAGGAAGGAG